AACGAACGCUGGCGGCAUGCCUAACACAUGCAAGUCGAACGAGACCUUCGGGUCUAGUGGCGCACGGGUGCGUAACGCGUGGGAACCUGCCCUUAGGUUCGGACUAACUCCCCGAAAGGGGUGCUAAUACCGGAUAAUGUCUUCGGACCAAAGAUUUAUCGCCUUUGGAUGGGCCCGCGUUGGAUUAGCUAGUUGGUAGGGUAAAAGCCUACCAAGGUGACGAUCCAUAGCUGGUCUGAGAGGAUGAUCAGCCACACUGGGACUGGGACACGGCCCAGACUCCUGCGGGAGGCAGCAGUGGGGAAUAUUGGACGAUGGGCGAAAGCCUGAUCCAGCAAGGCCGCGUGAGUGAUGAAGGCCUUAGGGUUGUAAAGCUCUUUUACCCGGGAUGAUAAUGACAGUACCGGGAGAAUAAGCUCCGGCUAACUCCGUG
rnacentral:rRNA from 1 species